AGCGAACGCUGGCGGCAGGCUUAACACAUGCAAGUCGAGCGGGCGUAGCAAUACGUCAGCGGCAGACGGGUGAGUAACGCGUGGGAACGUACCUUUUGGUUCGGAACAACCCAGGGAAACUUGGGCUAAUACCGGAUAAGCCCUUACGGGGAAAGAUUUAUCGCCGAAAGAUCGGCCCGCGUCUGAUUAGCUAGUUGGUGAGGUAACGGCUCACCAAGGCGACGAUCAGUAGCUGGUCUGAGAGGAUGAUCAGCCACAUUGGGACUGAGACACGGCCCAAACUCCUACGGGAGGCAGCAGUGGGGAAUAUUGGACAAUGGGCGCAAGCCUGAUCCAGCCAUGCCGCGUGAGUGAUGAAGGCCCUAGGGUUGUAAAGCUCUUUUGUGCGGGAAGAUAAUGACGGUAGCGAUAGAAGAAGCCCCGGCUAAAUUCGUGCCAGCAGCCGCCGUAA
rnacentral:rRNA from 1 species